AGAGUUAAACAGUACGUGAAAUUGCUAAAAGGGAAACGAUUGAAAUCAGUGUUGUGCGCCGGAAAUCAGCUGCCCGAACUCGGGUGGUGCACUUUCCGGCGCGCAAGUCAACAUCAGUUUGGGGACUUGGACAACGUCUCAGGAAGGUGGCUGGCACUCGUGCCAGUGUUAUAGCCUGAGAUCCUACAAGGACCCGGACUGAGGCCAGCAGUGCAUAUUUGGGGCCUGUCGUUUUUUUCAGGCUGGGGCUGCGGGACUGCUUGCAGACCCGUGGCUACAGUUUGGCCUAGGCGGCACGGUUCACACCAGCACUUAGGAUGUUGACGAAAUGGCUUUAAACGACC
rnacentral:rRNA from 1 species